rnacentral:lncRNA from 1 species
AUUAUCAGGUCUAUAUAAUGGGGACCUAAAACUUGUAGUACUUUUUUGAUGGAAUCAAGAAAAGAAAACUCAAACCAAUUUUGAAUAUGUUUAAAUACUACAUUUAUCUACAUUUUUUAUUCAGUAUGACCUCCUUCACAAACAACAACAGGCUGGACAUGCAUGUAAACAAAUUUCCUUCUCUUUAUUAUAAAGUCAUGUUCAUGAUGGAAGCUCGGAGUGAAUCCAAAUUUUCAUGAGAGGUACAGCAGUAACUGCAAAGUACACGGAGUUGAGGUCAUGACUGGAGAAGGGCCACAUGGAGGUAAGCCCAAAGUCAGCCAAAUUAUUGCUGCAGAAGUUUCAGUUCUUCUUGUCUGCAUGGAGCUGUAAUGUUGUAGGCAGUUUGGAUGGAGAUUCCAACGGUUGCUGCAGCAUUUUCUGAACUGACACCGCCGCAGGAUAUAUAAUAAAGUUCAUCAUCAAGAAAUCCCUUGAAUAACAUCAGUAGUAAUUGACUUCAUGUCUUAAUUUAAUAAGAAUAAUUUAAUGAAAUUAGGGUUUUUUUAAAUUUAUCAUAGUUUAAUCCUAAUUUUUGCUAUAUUAUAUCGAAUAAUCACGAUUUUAAAAAUAUUUUUCUUGUUAUAAGUUAGAAUCUCAUCAUCACCACCACUAACAUUACGUCCAAUCUUUUCCAUUAAUGUAAGAUCAGGAUUUGGAAGUUUGUUUGGGCCAAAAAAAUUCUCAUUUGUUUCAAGAUUAAGUGGGGAUUGUUCAGCAGUCAAUUUUGCGCCAAAUUUAUCAUUCGUCUAAUUGGCUGUUGUUGGAAACUGUUGUCACAUCUUCAAUCAUCAUUUAGAUUUUCCCACGAAAAAUAUCAUCAAAGAACCAUCAAAAGGUGUUGUGUAAUCAAACUAGAACUCAAAUUCUCUAUGUAUAUUUCAUACAAGUUUAGCUUAAUGAUCCGUUUUCAUAGAUCGAAGGACAAAAUGAGCAAUUUUUACAGAAAAAAGGGCAAAAUGAGCAGCUUUUCCCAAAAAAAAAUGUCAAACUAAGUAAUUUUUGAGGCAUUGAGUGCUUAUAAAUUUUAAAUCUAGUUAUUAAGUUAUCAGCAUUUUCUAGAUUCGGGGACAACUUAGCUUUUACUCAAGAUGGAGCUCAAUAUCAUCGCACCUAUAAGACCCAGGCCUUCCUGAGAGACAACAUUCCAACUCUUGGGACCUUAACAUGUGGCCACCCUCCUCUCCAACUGUACCCCAUUGGGCUACUCUAUCUAUGGGCAUCUGAAGGAGAGGGUGUGUGCUACUCUUUAAAAGAGUGCUCAGUCUUUAUAGGCUUUCAUCAUGGAGGAGAUGAUCAACCUCGAGUCUGACAACAGAGUCAAGGUGUUCAAGGGAUUUAGGGCUCGUAUUGAGGCAAUUAGUAAUGCUGAGGGCUUACAUAUUGAAUAAAAGUUGUACCAAGCACUAUUUUCAGACAGUUUUGUUAAUCUAAUCACAGAACCUCUCGUUUAGUUUAUAUUCUUGAAAAAUUGAAGGCAAUAAAAUGUGUACCAAUAGAUAAUGCCAAUUCUAUAUAAUGGUCAUUGCAUUUUAUAAGGAAAUGGCACGGAACUUGUAUCUUUCUACACCAUUUGUACAGACUCCAUGUAAAAUUUCAAGCCAAUAUCUCAAGCAAUAGCGGAGAUAUGAGCAUUUUAAGAUUGCACUAUUUUAGUCCAGGAUCAGUAAAAAUCUCCUCCUGAAAACGCAGUCUUACUUCAAAUCCCUAUAAGAUUCUUAUCUUACAUUGUAGAAUCAUGAAAAUUGCAUUACUCAAUUAUUAUUAGUGAUAAAAAAUAAUCAAUGUUGGAUGCUACAUAAUAAAACGCACGCAAUAUUUCACUAAUAUGAUUACAUUGUUAUUUCUUAUAUAGAAAUAUACUUCUUAUAUAUGCUUUCUCUAUAUACAGUGCACCCGGUGACACGUUUUCAUAUAUAU